ACCAUCAUGAUUGUCUUCCAACCAACCUGAAUAGAAAGAAGUGCAACCAGCAUGAUAUCGGUCUGGCUGGAUGGUGUCUCUCCCCAUUACGAUCUUGCAAUGCCACCACUACGACAAAAGAGGCUUUUAAUGGCAUAUAUUUAGUGGCGAUAAGCUAAUUGUCACUAAUUUAUCCGCUAAGAUGAAAUAUUAUCGGCAAACAUACUUUGGCCAAGAAAAAUUCAUUUUUCUCAGCAAUUAGUGGAAAUGGUCAGUGAAAGAGCCAAUUUUCAUUUUUAACUUCCCUCCAAAAGUUAACCCUAUAUAUUUUCAUUUCCCUCUCUUUCUCUAGCUAAUCGCGCCCAAUAGCUUUUUUUAUUUCCUAUUCAUCUUUCUUUUGUUUUUUGAUUACCCUUUAAAACUUGAAACUUCCAUGAUUUUGAAGAUCAAGGUACUUGUAGAAAGCGCAGUAAAGGUAUCUUAUUUCCUCAUACUUUUUUUGUCGACACUUGCUUCGGCUUGCAUCCAUCUCUAUGUCAAUCGUCACAUUGGAGUGUUUGACAAAGAUGGUAACUUAAGAGCUUUAAGAGUGAGGUGGAAACAGUUUUGGAAUCACUAGAAUCAAGUCAGAUCAACAUACAACUGUUUGUUCCUAUUAAAUUUUGCACUUCCUUGCAGUUCUUGAUAUUUUUUUUAGAUUUUUAUCUAUUAUGCCUUGUAUUCAUGCAAACACUAAGAACACGUAUAAUGUGUAGUGGUUACAUUCACAUGGUUAACAAAGCCUCGCUCUCUGUUGUUGCCUUCCAAAUCUCUAUAGUACGUUUCUUUCUUUGACUCAUUUAUGAGAUGCACUCUUUAAUUGACAGUGAACCUGAUUUGUUAUUUUCAAUUACUUGGUUAUGUUAUGUUCUUGUGGUGAUAAAAUUGCUUCUUGUUGGUGCUCUGCAGCUUAUAUGUUCUUAUGUGUUGAAUGGGGGUUUUGGAUAAAAAAUUAAACUGGAUUUGAAACAUGUAGAUGUUGAAUAGUGUCUAGUAAUUCGUACAUUCUACUACAAUAUCUAUUAUAUACAUCCUUCAAAUUAAUUUUUUAAGUGCAAAUCAUAAUCUAUCAUACAGAAUUUGGCUAUCUAACAGCACUAAAAGCUAGCAUGAUCACCAUAGGCUUAACAUGCUACAUUAACUAAAUGACUUGAUCUGAUAGUUUAUUUCGAUUUCUUUAAGUUUGUACACACUUUAUGGUUACUAUUUCUUUCACGUUGUCCUAGUUUUCAAGUAUUAAGUCACACAAAAAUACCAAGACUAUCUAUCUUAACUUCUCGUCAUUAUAGAAAACUUCUCCGGAUGUACUUUAUAUAUGCAUAUCAGCCAGUCAUUGUCUUGCUUUAUAACUCUGCUUGUUUAGUGAUGUUUGAGUUACUUAAAAAAGUUUAUUUUUCACGAUGUGAAGGAAAUACUUGCACUACGCAAGAUGCAUAUAUGCCUACCUUCGAUUCCAUAAAAGAAUCUGGUGCAUCUAUUCCUUUAACAAGAACUAGGGACGUUGCUUUACUUUGGGCUAUGGCUGCUUGUGGAAUAUUUUAGCUUCAAAAAUGGUUGUGCAAUGCGAACAACUAGUAAUUCUACACUGACUUUGUUCAUUAUGUGAAGCUCUUUUUGACUGCUUUUGAAGUAUGAUUAUAGUUUGGUGAGACUCUUCAAAGGUUAGUUGAAAGCUACAAUAUAUCGGCGAAGAUUUGAGUUGUAAGUUGGAUGAGUUCUUGGAUGCAACUUGAUCUGAUACAAUUCAGCCUAUCUUACUGGCACACAAUUGAAUCUUCAAACUGGAAUUUCAUGUGGAAGAACUCAAUAUGAUUUAAGAGUUCGAAGAGAGAUUUUUAUUAGACUUGAAAUAUCAUUUGAUUCAAAUGGUUUAUUUUUUUUUCUUAGGUUGUUCACACUUUGUAACGAUGGAUUAGAAGUUGUAUUUGUUUAUUGUGGAUUUAAUGAAGUACAUUAUGAUUUUAAGAAUGGAUA